rnacentral:lncRNA from 1 species
UGCAUACCUUUUGGUCUUCUGGAAUUUCCAUUCUUUUGCUGUUCGUCUUCCUCAUUAAUGGUGAAUAAACCAAGAGGAAUUGGCCUUGCAUUGGUCUUCUUCAGUCUCUCAUGUCGGAGAGCUGUAGCUGAUCCAGGCAUACCGCUGCUACUUGUUUAUAUUAAAAAUAUAUGCUUAUGUAAUUGCAGCUCCCAGGAAGCUGCUAGUUCCUAAGCUGCCUGUUCAUUUGAGCACUUGUAAUAGAUCCCCUAUGGGUAAACAGUUUGCAAACAGCUGACAGAUAGUACCAGCCACUUGGCAACUGAGGCCCUGCAGUUCCCCUCACCUAGCAGCAGCU